rnacentral:rRNA from 1 species
CCUACGGGGCGCUGCAGUGGGGAAUAUUGCACAAUGGGCGCAAGCCUGAUGCAGCCAUGCCGCGUGUGUGAAGAAGGCCUUCGGGUUGUAAAGCACUUUCAGCGGGGAGGAAGGCGGUGAGGUUAAUAACCUCAUCGAUUGACGUUACCCGCAGAAGAAGCACCGGCUAACUCCGUGCCAGCAGCCGCGGUAAUACGGAGGGUGCAAGCGUUAAUCGGAAUUACUGGGCGUAAAGCGCACGCAGGCGGCCUGUCAAGACGGAUGUGAAAUCCCCGGGCUCAACCUGGGAACUGCAUUCGAAACUGGCAGGCUAGAGUCUUGUAGAGGGGGGUAGAAUUCCAGGUGUAGCGGUGAAAUGCGUAGAGAUCUGGAGGAAUACCGGUGGCGAAGGCGGCCCCCUGGACAAAGACUGACGCUCAGGUGCGAAAGCGUGGGGAGCAAACAGGAUUAGAUACCCGAGUAGUC